rnacentral:rRNA from 1 species
UGCAGUCGAACGGCAGCGCGGACUUCGGUCUGGCGGCGAGUGGCGAACGGGCGAUUAAUAUAUCGGAACGUGCCCAGUAGCGGGGGAUAACUACUCGAAAGAGUAGCUAAUACCGCAUACGCCCUACGGGGGAAAGGGGGGGAUCGCAAGACCUCUCACUAUUGGAGCGGCCGCUAUCGGAUUAGCUAGUUGGUGGGGUAAAGGCCCACCAAGGCGACGAUCCGUAGCUGGUUUGAGAGGACGACCAGCCACACUGGGACUGAGACACGGCCCAGACUCCUACGGGAGGCAGCAGUGGGGAAUUUUGGACAAUGGGGGAAACCCUGAUCCAGCCAUUCCGCGUGUGCGAUGAAGGCCUUCGGGUUGUAAAGCACUUUUGGCAGGAAAGAAAUCGCACAAAUUAAUACUUUGUGUGGAUGACGGUACCUGCAGAAUAAGCACCGGCUAACUACGUGCCAGCAGCCGCGGUAAUACGUAGGGUGCAAGCGUUAAUCGGAAUUACUGGGCGUAAAGCGUGCGCAGGCGGUUCGGAAAGAGAGGUGUGAAAUCCCAGGGCUUAACCUUGGAACUGCACUUUUAACUCCCGAGCUAGAGUAUGUCAGAGGGGGGUGGAAUUCCGCGUGUAGCAGUGAAAUGCGUAGAUAUGCGGAGGAACACCGAUGGCGAAGGCAGCCCCCUGGGAUAAUACUGACGCUCAUGCACGAAAGCGUGGGGAGCAAGCAGGAUUAGAUACCCUGGUAGUCCACGCCCUAAACGAUGUCAACUAGCUGUUGGGGGCUUCGGCCCUUAGUAGCGCAGCUAACGCGUGAAGUUGACCGCCUGGGGAGUACGGUCGCAAGAUUAAAACUCAAAGGAAUUGACGGGGACCCGCACAAGCGGUGGAUGAUGUGGAUUAAUUCGAUGCUACGCGAAAAACCUUACCUACCCUUGACAUGUCUGGAAUCCCCGAAGAGAUUUGGGAGUGCU